UGUCCCGGAUGGCGCAGUGGUUAACGCACCUGCGUAGUAAUCAGGAGACCCUGGGUUCGAAUCCCAGUCCGACAU
rnacentral:tRNA from 1 species